rnacentral:rRNA from 1 species
GACUUAAGCAUAUCAAUAAGCGGAGGAAAAGAAACCAACAGGGAUUGCUUCAGUAACGGCGAGUGAAGCGGCAACAGCUCAAAUUUGAAAUCUGGCCCUUUCGGGGUCCGAGUUGUAAUUUGUAGAGAGUGUUUCGGGGGAGACCACGGUCUAAGUCCAUUGGAACAUGGCGUCAUAGAGGGUGAGAAUCCCGUAUGUGACCGUGGAUCGAGCCCAUGUGAAGCCUCUUCGACGAGUCGAGUUGUUUGGGAAUGCAGCUCAAAAUGGGUGGUAAAUUUCAUCUAAAGCUAAAUACUGGCUGGAGACCGAUAGCGCACAAGUAGAGUGAUCGAAAGAUGAAAAGCACUUUGGAAAGAGAGUCAAACAGUACGUGAAAUUGUUGAAAGGGAAGCGCUUGCAACCAGACCUGCCCGUAGGCGAUCAGCCGCUGUUCUCAGUGGUGCACUCGCUCUGCGAUCAGGCCAGCAUCGGUUCGGGCGGCCGGAUAAAGGCCUUGGGAAUGUAGCUCCCUCCGGGGAUCUUAUAGCCCUCGGUGCAAUGCGGCCAGCCGGGACCGAGGACCGCGCUUCGGCUUAGGAUGCUGGCGUAAU